UUAAUUUAAAUCAUAUUUAUAUUAAAACAACAAUUAAUUAAAGUUCUAAUUAAAUUUUAAAUUAAUACUGUUAACUAACUUCACUUUAUGGCUUUAGUUUGAUUUGUUGUGAUUGUUCCAAAUGACAGUUUUAAAAUCCUUAAUUUAAUUGGUUGAUUAACGAAGGUGCAAGAUAAUUUUUCCAUGUUUAAAACUUAAAAAUAAAUGUUUGGGAAACAAACAAAACAAAA